AGACCCGAAACCCGGUGAUCUAGCCAUGGGCAGGUUGAAGGUUGGGUAACACUAACUGGAGGACCGAACCGACUAAUGUUGAAAAAUUAGCGGAUGACCUGUGGCUGGGGGUGAAAGGCCAAUCAAACCGGGAGAUAGCUGGUUCUCCCCGAAAGCUAUUUAGGUAGCGCCUCGUGAAUUCAUCUCCGGGGGUAGAGCACUGUUUCGGCUAGGGGGCCAUCCCGGCUUACCAACCCGAUGCAAACUGCGAAUACCGGAGAAUGUUAUCACGGGAGACACACGGCGGGUGCUAACGUCCGUCGUGAAGAGGGAAACAACCCAGACCGCCAGCUAAGGUCCCAAAGUCAUGGUUAAGUGGGAAACGAUGUGGGAAGGCCCAGACAGCCAGGAUGUUGGCUUAGAAGCAGCCAUCAUUUAAAGAAAGCGUAAUAGCUCACUGGUCGAGUCGGCCUGCGCGGAAGAUGUAACGGGGCUAAACCAUGCACCGAAGCUGCGGCAGCGAACGUAUCACUUAAAGCGAUUCAGCGGGUUACGAUUGACGGAGCGAAGCGACGUCAAAGCGUAUACAAAGUCGAGUCGGUUUAAGGAUACGUUCGUUGGGUAGGGGAGCGUUCUGUAAGCCUGUGAAGGUGUGUCGUGAGGCAUGCUGGAGGUAUCAGAAGUGCGAAUGCUGACAUAAGUAACGAU
rnacentral:rRNA from 1 species